rnacentral:tRNA from 1 species
UCCUUGGGAAUCCAGUGGUUAAGACUCUGCAUUUCCAAUGUAGGAGGUACAGGUUCGAUCCCUGAUUGGGGAA